CAAUUGCCAGAGGUGAAAUUCUUGGAUUUAUUGAAGACUAACUACUGCGAAAGCAUUUGCCAAGGAUGUUUUCAUUAAUCAGGAACGAAAGUUAGGGGAUCGAAGACGAUCAGAUACCGUCGUAGUUUUAACCAUAAACUAUGCCGACUAGGGAUCGGACGAUGUCAUAUUUUGACUCGUUCGGCACCUUACGAGAAAUCAAAGUGCUUGGGCUCCAGGGGGAGUAUGGUCGCAAGGCUGAAACUUAAGGAAAUUGACGGAAGGGCACCACCAGGGGUGGAGCCUGCGGCUUAAUUUGACUCAACACGGGGAAACUCACCAGGUCCAGACACAAUGAGGAUUGACAGAUUGAGAGCUCUUUCUUGAUUUUGUGGGUGGUGGUGCAUGGCCGUUCUUAGUUGGUGGAGUGAUUUGUCUGCUUAAUUGCGAUAACGAACGAGACCUUAACCUGCUAAAUAGCCCGUAUUGCUUUGGCAGUACGCUGGCUUCUUAGAGGGACUAUCGGCUCAAGCCGAUGGAAGUUUGAGGCAAUAACAGGUCUGUGAUGCCCUUAGAUGUUCUGGGCCGCACGCGCGCUACACUGACGGAGCCAGCGAGUACUCCCUUGGCCGGAAGGCCCGGGUAAUCUUGUUAAACUCCGUCGUGCUGGGGAUAGAGC
rnacentral:rRNA from 1 species